GUCAAGACUUUCUAAAAGAGUGUCAGUUCUUACAAAAGAGAGGGAUCCUUGGAAGAAAAAGAGAAACCUCACAUGCCUCCUCCUUCGUAGAUCUGCCACCUCUUUCUCUUCCUCUUUAUCUGCCUCCCCUGCUUUCCAUCUCCACUCUAUCUGCAUUUGCUUCUCAACCCGAUCUCUUUGGACUCCGUUUCCGUCUCCAAUUGGACUCACAAACCAGCACCAUUACCCACCUGUACACUCACACUGACUGACCGUGACUCUGUAUAUUAUAUUAUAAAUUUUGGUCGCAUUGGUGAUGCGCCGGCGAGUUUGGCCGGAAUCCCGUUGAGUGACUGGAUUUUCCGGUGGAGAAAAUGUUCAGGUCGUCGAGAUGGAGGGGCGAGAAGAACAAGAUCAAAACCGUCUUCAAGUUGCAGUUUCAUGCAACUCAGCUGCCGCAACUGAAUGUGAAUGCAUUGGUUUUAUCUGUGGUUCCUGGAGAUGCGGGGAAGCCAACAGUGAGUUUAGAGAAGGGUAUACUCAGACAAGGAAGUUGUCGAUGGGACUAUCCGGUUCACGAAACAGUGAAAUACAUUCGUGAUGUGAAAACAGGGAAGAUCAAUGAGAGAAUAUACCAUUUUGUGGUCUCAACUGGAUCGUCAAAAAAUAGUCUGGUAGGAGAGGUUUCAAUAGAUUUUGCUGAUUAUGCAGAGGCGACUAAAGCUUCCACAGUUUCUCUUCCUUUCAAGAAUUCAAAAUCUAAUGGGGUAUUGCAUGUUUCAAUUCAGAGGCUGCAAGAAAAUGUUGAGCAAAGUGAAGUGAUGGAAGGUGAAGAUGCAAAUGUAAAAUCCCAGAGCAGAACAUUGAACACCCUAUUAAGCAAUAGUAACAUAGAUGAGGGUAUUGAUAGUCAUUCCAGUAAAGAUGGACCACUUAUUAAUGGUGCCCACACUGCUGAUUUAAAUGUCAAUGACAGAACUUCUAGUGGAUCUGACAUUACAAUGUCAAGUUCUGAAACUAGCUCUGGGCUCAAUACCCCACGAGAACUUGGAUUGAGAAACAACAUGCUACAGGACCCCAUUAGCUUUCUAUCGUCUCAAACCCAGACUUCAGCACCUCACCUGUCAAAACCAAAUGCUCCUGCAGCAAACUAUGGAGAGCAUCGGCAACAGCAAUGGGAGUUGUCAGCGGAUUCUGAUCAUGGGACAAGUACUGAUGACUCAACAAACAGUUCUCAAGGCAACCUUACAAGAGAGAGAUCUCAACAGGUGUCAGACAUGGAUAUGGAAAAGCUGAAGGCUGAACUUGUUAUGUUGUCAAGACAGGCAGAUGUGUCAGAGAUGGAAAUACAAACUCUGCGAAAGCAAAUUAUUAAAGAGAGCAAAAGGGGGCAGGAUCUCUCUAGAGAAAUCUUGGGAUUAAAAGGGGAGCGAGACAUGCUCAAGUCAGAGUGUGAGAAACUCAAGGCAUUUCAGAAAUGCAUGGAGGAGGCAAGAAGCAAAAACAAAUCGCAGUUUGAAGGUGGCGAUCCAUGGGUUCUUCUUGAAGAAGUUCGACAAGAACUAAAUUACGAGAAGGACCUAAAUUCCAACCUCCGGCUACAGCUGCAGAAAACGCAGGAAUCAAAUGCUGAGUUGAUACUUGCUGUGAAAGACCUUGAUGAAAUGUUAGAGCAGAAAAGUAAGGGAACAUCUGACCUUUCCAACAAAGCAAGAUCCUAUGAGAAUGCUAUCUCAAGAAGCGAGACUGAUGAUGAUGAAGACCAAAAGGCACUGGAAGAACUUGUUAAGGAGCACAAGGAUGCUAAAGAAACUUAUCUGUUGGAGCAAAAGAUUAUGGACCUCUGCAGUGAAAUAGAAAUCUACAGGAGAGAUAGAGAUGAGCUGGAGAUGCAAAUGGAGCAGCUUGCACUUGAUUAUGAGAUAUUGAAGCAGGAGAACCAUGACAUGUCAUAUAAAUUAGAACAAAGUCAGCUGCAAGAACAGCUGAAGAUGCAGUAUGAAUGCUCCCCUUUGUUUCACAACAUUAACGAACAAGAAGCUCAGAUUGAGAGCUUAGAAAAUGAACUGAAGAUGCAGUCAGAGGAAAACUUUGAUUCUUUGGCCACCAUAAAGGAACUAGAAACCCAUAUCAAGAGCUUGGAGGAAGAAUUGGAAAAGCAGGCCCAAGAGUUUGAAGCUGAUCUGGAGGCUGUAACACGUGCAAGAGUUGAGCAGGAGAAGAGAGCCAUUCAAGCCGAGGAAGCCAUGCGGAAGACAAGAUUGAAAAAUGCUAAUGCAGCUGAGAAGCUGCAGGAAGAAUUUAGAAGGCUGUCCAUGCAAAUGGCAUCGACUUUUGAUGCAAACGAGAAGGUAGCUAUGAAAGCGCUUGCUGAAGCUAGUGAACUACGUAUGCAGAAAGUUCAACUGGAAGAAAUGCUUCAGAAAGCUAAUGAGGAGCUCCAAUCAAUUACGGAUGGCUAUGAGUCAAAAUUGCAUGAUCUUUCCAACCAACUGAAUUUGAAAAUGCAUCAGAUAGAACAGAUGAUGAUGGAAAUUGAGGAUAAAUCCAGAGUGCUUGAACAGCUAAAGAAGCUGGAUGAAGAACGUGCCGGGGCUUCAUCCCAGGAAAUCCAAGGCUUAAAAACUGAGCUUGAAAUGCUCGCAAUAGAAAACAAUAACCUUUUGAAGCAAGCAGAACAUAAAGAAAGUAUGAGUUUAGAGCUGGAACAAAUGAAGACAUCAAUUAAGCACACUGGAGCACUGGUACAAAAGGGAGAUAUGGAACAGGAUGAACUGGUGGGUACAAUUUCUUUGUUGAAGAAGGAAGCAGAGAAGUCACUGGUGGAGUUAAAUAGGAUGAGAUGUCUCAAGGAUGAGAAGGAAGCAGCAAUGAAUGUCUUGCAAUCAGAGGUGGGAAUGCUUAAAGCUCAGUGUGAUAACUUGAAACAUUCUGUGUUUGAGGAUGAGUUGGAAAAGGAAAAACUUAGAAAGCAGUUAGUCCAGUUAAAGAGCGAGCUGAAGAAGAAGGAAGAUGCUUUGAACAGCAUGGAGAAGAAAAUCAAGGAAAGCAGCAAACGCUCAGUAGUUUCUGAAGGAACAAAGACUAAUCUGAGAAACAACAAGUCUGCUCCAGUUCCUUAUGGCUCUAAAGAGGUGGCAAAUCUGAGGGAGAAAAUAAAAUUGCUCGAGGGACAAAUUAAGUUAAAGGAGACUGCUUUAGAAGCCUCUGCAAGUUCGUUUGCAGAGAAGGAAAGGGAUCUUCAAAACAAAAUUGAAGAGUUGGUUAGCAGAUUGGAAGAACUCAACCAGAAUAGUGCAAUUUUCUGCUAUAACCAACCUCAAAAGGUAUCUGACGACGACAUUGGAGUUAAUUCAAAUGGUGAUGUAGCUGAAGAUUAUAGAAAGACGGAUGAAAAUCCAAGCAGUUCAUGCAAAGAAAAUGGGAAUUCAAGAUUGUUAAUCAAGAGCGAUCAUUCCACUGCAGCAGAGCAAGAACCAAAAGCCUCCUGCUGUAUCAAUAACACAGACCACAAUGCUGAGAGGUUGUUGAGUGAACUAGUGACAUUGAAGGAGAGAAACAAAUCGAUGGAAAAUGAACUGAAGGAGAUGCAAGAGAGAUAUUCGGAAAUAAGUCUCAAGUUUGCAGAGGUAGAAGGAGAAAGACAACAGCUUGUGAUGACCCUGCGAAAUCUUAAGAAUGCCAGAAAGAGCUAAUAUUUUUUUCUUGAUAUUAUCUUAUACAGAACCUAUAUACUGUGUAUAGUUGUGCAGUGGGAUGUGCUGCAAUGAGAAUGUAGUGUUGUUUCCUUUGGAAGAAUGAAUAAUCAAUCUGUACAAAGUAAUACGGAAGUUCAAAAAAAUCCCGAGUGUAGGGAAGCCAUUUUUAAUUAGGUGUCCAGAUGAUUUUGUUCUUUUUUGUAAUUUUCUGAAAGCUUGUCAUGUUGUUGUGACGUUUGUUCAUUAAUAUAUUCUUUUCAUUGUUCCCUUGGUGAUCA